ensembl:lncRNA
AGGGCCUUACAUUAGAACACAACACAACAGCAUACGAUGAGAGAGAGAGAGAAGAGUGGCUAGAACACUAAUGUGGUCAGAUAUACUAUAGCUUCAGGUCAAAUAUACUUCCAGGUCAAAUAUACUACCAGGUCAGAUAUACUUCCAGGUCAAAUAUACUUCCAGGUCAGAUAUACUUCCAGGUCAAAUAUACUACCAGGUCAAAUAUACUACCAGGUCAGAUAUACUUCCAGGUCAAAUAUACUACCAGGUCAGAUAUACUUCCAGGUCAAAUAUACUUCCAGGUCAGAUAUACUUCCAGGUCAAAUAUACUUCCAGGUCAAAUAUACUUCCAGGUCAGAU